rnacentral:rRNA from 1 species
CCUACGGGUGGCAGCAGUGGGGGAUAUUGCACAAUGGGGGAAACCCUGAUGCAGCGACGCCGCGUGUGGGAAGACGGUCCUCUGGAUUUUAAACCACUGUCCCCAGGGACGAAGAUGCCGUUACCUGGGGAUGAAGCUCCGGCUAACUACGUGCCAGCAGCCGCGGUAUUACGUAGGGAGCGAGCGUUGUCCGGAAUUACUGGGUGAAAGGGGAGCGUAGGCGGGGAGGCAAGUUGGGUGUCAAAACUACCGGCUCAACUGGUAGUCGCACUCAAAACUGCAGCUCUUGAGUGAAGUAGAGGCAGGCGGAAUUCCUAGUGUAGCGGUGAAAUGCGUAGAUAUCAGGAGGAACACUAGUGGCGAAGGCGGCCUGCUGGGAUUUUACUGACGCUGAGGCUCGAAAGUGUGGGGAGCAAACAGGAUUAGAUACCCCUGUAGUC